rnacentral:rRNA from 1 species
UGGGGAAUAUUGGACAAUGGGCGCAAGCCUGAUCCAGCCAUGCCGCGUGAGUGAUGAAGGCCCUAGGGUUGUAAAGCUCUUUCACCGGUGAAGAUAAUGACGGUAACCGGAGAAGAAGCCCCGGCUAACUUCGUGCCAGCAGCCGCGGUAAUACGAAGGGGGCUAGCGUUGUUCGGAUUUACUGGGCGUAAAGCGCACGUAGGCGGACUUUUAAGUUAGGGGUGAAAUCCCGGGGCUCAACCCCGGAACUGCCUUUGAUACUGGAAGUCUUGAGUAUGGUAGAGGUGAGUGGAAUUCCGAGUGUAGAGGUGAAAUUCGUAGAUAUUCGGAGGAACACCAGUGGCGAAGGCGGCUCACUGGACCAUUACUGACGCUGAGGUGCGAAAGCGUGGGGAGCAAACAGG